rnacentral:lncRNA from 1 species
AAAAGUACAGAGGAUUCACCAUCCCGGAGGCGUUCCGUGGAGUGCAUCGACAAUGCCCCGGAGCCGCCAGACCAUCGCGCCCCCGCCCCAUCGCCGUACGUGAGCUCGCCUACCCUGGGAACCCCUCAAAAGCCCGAGCUAUCGGUCUCUCCUGCUUGAAGACUCAAGCUCCCAUCUUCAUCAACUCUCUCCUCUGGGGGUGGGGCCAAGGCCGAAAUCACAAGGCUGCAGGAGUGGAGGUGGCCGCUGACAAGUGAAGUAAAGAGAAAAAAACAAAACGGCUUGGCUGGAAAGGGCUUCUGUGUGGAUGUGAUGGGGACGCCGGGGGAGGGGCUGGGUCGCUGUUCCCAUGCCCUGAUCCGGGGUGUCCCCGAGAGCUUGGCAUCCGGGGAAGGUGCUGGCGCUGGUCUUCCGGCUCUGGAUCUGGCUAAAGCUCAAAGGGAGCAUGGAGUACUAGGAGGUAAACUGAGGCAACGACUAGGUCUGCAGCUUCUUGAACUGCCUCCUGAGGAAUCACUGCCGCUGGGACCACUGCUUGGUGACACGGCUGUGAUCCAAGGAGA